CACGUAGGGCGCGAGCGUUGUCCGGAAUUAUUGGGCGUAAAGAGCUCGUAGGCGGUUUGUCGCGUCUGCUGUGAAAUCCCGAGGCUCAACCUCGGGCCUGCAGUGGGUACGGGCAGACUAGAGUGCGGUAGGGGAGAUUGGAAUUCCUGGUGUAGCGGUGGAAUGCGCAGAUAUCAGGAGGAACACCGAUGGCGAAGGCAGAUCUCUGGGCCGUAACUGACGCUGAGGAGCGAAAGCGUGGGGAGCGAACAGG
rnacentral:rRNA from 1 species